UUCGACGUAUAGAUACUAAUGAGAUUUGAAUUAUUACCGUCGCAAAUGCUAGUAGCUACCAAAGUCUGAUAUUCAUUUUACGUAUGUUUUUAAACUUUAGAUUGAGUCACGUUCAUUUUACUUUAGACACACAGAUGGAAUUAUUAUCAGAUUGAAUCAUAAUAUAUUUAUAUAUUGCACACUUUUCUUAGUACCAUGUAUUUUCUUCUGAAUCUUUCAUCUUCACACACUCCACUUCACAUCCAUUUUCAUCUUCACGCAUGCAUUUUCAUCAUUUUUACUACUAUGGCCAGUCAACACACUCUCCACUUCACAUCCACAUAUUGUGCCCAGAAAUAUCCACCAUCCCCUCAAUGGCUUUAUGUACAUUGAGAAAAAAAUGAUAGCUUUUAUUUAUUUUUUUCCUGCAUAAGAUAUUUCACGAUCUCCUCUCUGUGUGUUCAUUUUCUGUGGCUCUCAUUCUCCCUCUCUUUUGUUUUCUGCUUUUUCU
rnacentral:lncRNA from 1 species